UACGGGGGGGGCAAGCGUUGUUCGGAAUUACUGGGCGUAAAGGGCGCGUAGGCGGUUUGCUAAGUUGAAUGUGAAAACUCUGGGCUUAACCCAGAGCCUGCAUUCAAUACUGGCAGGCUGGAGUUCUGGAGGGAUAGCGGAAUUCCUGGUGUAGCGGUGAAAUGCGUAGAUAUCAGGAGGAACACCGGUGGCGAAGCGGCUAUCUGGACA
rnacentral:rRNA from 1 species